AGUAACACGUGGGCAACCUUUCCUAUCGCGGGGGAUAACACCGGGAAACCGAUGCUAAUACCGCAUGUCGUCACUGGUCGCAUGGCUGGUGAAGAAAGCAGCAAUGCACGAUGGGGUGGGCCCGCGGCCUAUCAGCUAGUCGGUGGGGUAACGGCCUACCGAGGCGAUGACGGGUAGCUGGUCUGAGAGGACGGCCAGCCACACGGGGACUGAGAUACGGCCCAG
rnacentral:rRNA from 1 species